GAUGAACGCUGACAGAAUGCUUAACACAUGCAAGUCAUUGGCGAAGCUGCGCUUGCGCAGUCUAGCCAAGGCGGACGGGUGAGUAACGCGUAAGGAACUUGCCCUGCAGACAGGGAUAACAGACGGAAACGACUGAUAACACCUGGUAUUGUCAGGCUGGCGCAUGCCGGCCUGAUGAAAGGAGACGCUGCAGGAGAGCCUUGCGUCCUAUUAGCUAGUUGGUGGGGUAACGGCCCACCAAGGCGAUGAUAGGUAGCCGGCCUGAGAGGGUGAACGGCCACAAGGGGACUGAGAUACGGCGCUUACUCCUACGGGAGGCAGCAGUGGGGAAUAUUGGACAAUGGGGGCAACCCUGAUCCAGCAAUUCUGUGUGCACGAAGAAGGUUUUCGGAUUGUAAAGUGCUUUCAGCAGGGAAGAAGAAAGUGACGGUACCUGCAGAAGAAGCGACGGCUAAAUACGUG
rnacentral:rRNA from 1 species